rnacentral:rRNA from 1 species
AGAAUGAACGUUGGCGGCGUGGAUUAGGCAUGCAAGUCGAGCGGGAGUAGCAAUACUCUAGCGGCGUAAGGGACAGUAACACGUAGAUCACCUACCCUCAGAUUCGGGAUAGCUGCGGGAAACUGCAGGUAAUACCGAAUAAUGUCUCCGGACCAAAGGUGUGAUUCCGUCCGAGGAUGGGUCUGCGUCCUAUUAGCUAGUUGGUAGGGUAAUGGCCUACCAAGGCAAUGAUGGGUAGUGGGUGUGAGAGCACGACCCGCGUCACUGGGACUGAGACACUGCCCAGACACCUACGGGUGGCUGCAGUCGAGGAUCUUCGGCAAUGGGCGCAAGCCUGACCGAGCGACGCCGCGUGCGGGAUGAAGGCCUUCGGGUUGUAAACCGCUGUCAGUGGGGAGAAAAUGUACGGAGGUUCUCCUUCGUAUUUGAUCUAUCCGCAGAGGAAGUGUGGGCUAAGUUCGUGCCAGCAGCCGCGGU